rnacentral:rRNA from 1 species
UAGGGAAUCUUCCGCAAUGGACGCAAGUCUGACGGAGCAACGCCGCGUGAGUGAUGAAGGUUUUCGGAUCGUAAAGCUCUGUUGCCCUAGACGAACAGCGAGGGGAGUAACUGCCCUUCGUGUGACGGUAUAGGAGAAGAAAGCCCCGGCUAACUACGUGCCAGCAGCCGCGGUAAUACGUAGGGGGCAAGCGUUGUCCGGAAUUAUUGGGCGUAAAGCGCGCGCAGGCGGUUCGGUAAGUCUGAUGGUAAAGCCCGGGGCUCAACCCCGGUAUGCAUUGGAAACUGCCGGGCUGGAGUGCAGGAGAGGGAAGUGGAAUUCCACGUGUAGCGGUGAAAUGCGUAGAGAUGUGGAGGAACACCAGUGGCGAAGGCGACUUCCUGGCCUGUAACUGACGCUGAGGCGCGAAAGCGUGGGGAGCAAACA